CCGCUCAGAAACUUAAAGAAUUGACGGGGCCCGCACAAGCGGCGGAGCAUGUGGAUUAAUUCGAUGCAACGCGAAGAACCUUACCUGGGUUUGACAUAUACCGGAAAGCUGCAGAGAUGUGGCCCCCCUUGUGGUCGGUAUACAGGUGGUGCAUGGCUGUCGUCAGCUCGUGUCGUGAGAUGUUGGGUUAAGUCCCGCAACGAGCGCAACCCUAUCUUAUGUUGCCAGCACGUUAUGGUGGGGACUCGUAAGAGACUGCCGGGGUCAACUCGGAGGAAGGUGGGGACGACGUCAAGUCAUCAUGCCCCUUAUGUCCAGGGCUUCACACAUGCUACAAUGGCCAGUACAGAGGGCUGCGAGACCGUGAGGUGGAGCGAAUCCCUUAAAGCUGGUCUCAGUUCGGAUCGGGGUCUGCAACUCGACCCCGUGAAGUCGGAGUCGCUAGUAAUCGCAGAUCAGCAACGCUGCGGUGAAUACGUUCCCGGGCCUU
rnacentral:rRNA from 1 species